AGUGAAAAGAAAGUAAUGGUUUAGAAGUAGAUCACUGUUCAAACUCAUUGAGUUUCGUGGUUUUUUUUGUGGAACCCAAUAAUUUAUUUUCCUGUCUUUCCCCAGGAGCAGUUCAAACCCCCAAAAAAUCUCCAAACAGCCUGGAAGAUCCCUUCGAUUUAUAUUAUUAUAUAAGGAAGGGGGAGAGAAGAAUUAGGAUGAUGAUGAUAAUCAUGUUGGUGGUGAUGAUGAUGAUGAUGAUGAUAUAUGUAAUGUCAAAAAGCAGAAGACUGUAGAAAGGCAGAGGAAGAUACUGUAUUCUUGUUUAAUUGGAGCUCAGAGUUGAGAAGGAGCUGGUAAAUUUCAUUUUGGCUGAAGUGUGUAAUUGUGAUUAAUGAUUUCAACGUGAGACCUCAACCAAUGAGUGUUGGAUGGACAGUGCAGUGCAGCUCUUUUUAAAGAUCAAUAUUAUGCAGCUUGUGUGCUUGUAUUUUUGAUUAGCACCAUGAUUAUGUAUAAAAUUAGAUACAAAUAGGACUAUUUUGGAUCAUUUCAGCAGAUUGUUUAGAUGAUUACAAAUCCUUGUCCUCUGGUGCACUACAGUACAGCAUAAUACCACCAACAUUUCAGCAUGAUUACAUAGAAAUAUAGAAACAUUUUUAGGAGGUGAUUUGUGUCUGAGUAAAAAAUUGGGGUUAACAACAAUUGAUCAUUCCAAUGCACAUCGCAUGUAAAACAGAAGCUUACUCUGUCUAUUUCAGGAAUCAUGGGGAAUUUUAGGGAGACUCAUAUUAAAUGCAUCACUUAUUCAAAGCAAAUGUGCAGUGGGUGAUUUUUCACAGUAAUGUGAACUCUAUCACAGUUAUAUGGGAUUAUUAUCGCAUGAUAGUGCCAUAAGGCAUUUAAACGUGACAUAAGAGGUAGGAGAUUAGUGAGAAU
rnacentral:lncRNA from 1 species